UACGAAGGGGGCUAGCGUUGCUCGGAAUCACUGGGCGUAAAGGGUGCGUAGGCGGGGCUUUAAGUCAGGGGUGAAAUCCUGGAGCUCAACUCCAGAACUGCCUUUGGUACUGAGGAUCUUGAGUUCGGGAGAGGUGAGUGGAACUGCGAGUGUAGAGGUGAAAUUCGUAGAUAUUCGCAAGAACACCAGUGGCGAAGGCGGCUCACUGGCCCGAUACUGACGCUGAGGCACGAAAGCGUGGGGAGCAAACAGG
rnacentral:rRNA from 1 species